rnacentral:rRNA from 1 species
UAGCUAGUAGGUGGGGUAAUGGCUCACCUAGGCGACGAUCCCUAGCUGGUCUGAGAGGAUGACCAGCCACACUGGAACUGAGACACGGUCCAGACUCCUACGGGAGGCAGCAGUGGGGAAUAUUGCACAAUGGGCGCAAGCCUGAUGCAGCCAUGCCGCGUGUAUGAAGAAGGCCUUCGGGUUGUAAAGUACUUUCAGCGAGGAGGAAGGUGUUGAGGUUAAUAACCUCAGCAAUGACGUACUCGCAGAAGAAGC